GCUGAUGUUUACAGUUAUGGUAUUAUGCUGAUGGAGGUGUUCACAAGAAUGAAGCCAACCGAUGAAAUUUUCAGUGAUGAAAUGAGCCUGACACAUUGGGUGAGUAACUCUCUGCUUCACUCAAACUCCGAAGUUGUGGACAACAAUUUAAUGGGAAGGGAGGAUAAAGAUUUUGCUGCCAAGGAGAAAUGCAUUGCAUCUAUCUUGAGUUUGGCUCUGGAAUGUACCUCAAAUUCACCUCAGCAGAGAAUCAAUAUGGAAGAUGCGGUUACUAGACUCAAGAAAAUCAAAUUCAGGCUUUUAGCAAAUAUAGAGAUGACCUGAAAGUGUUAGCAAGUAUAUAGUUCUAUAACAUAUUUUGUUUAUUGAUUUAUAUGCAUUACAGCAUCAGGAACCUUGUUUAGUAAUGAAUGUUUUAAGAUAGCACUGAUGAUGUUCUGAUCUUGUCUAGUUUUGUACAUUAUUUUUGGAGAUUAUUACGAGGUUAGGGAUUGAACCAUCUCUCUUGUACUAUUG
rnacentral:misc_RNA from 1 species